AAAAAUGUUCUAAGUCACUUCUGGUAAUACUCGUAAAGAUUACAAGCACUAAAUAUUCAUUUAUCUAGUCAAUGGCUAAUUAUAAGCUUUAUCAAACUAAUAGGAGGAUUCAAGCGUGAGAAUGAAUUCUUAUUUUUCAAACUUAUAAUCGAAUUUAAGUUUGUUCUAAAAAUUAAGACCAUGGUUUAUAAUAAUUUAGCAUCCUAGGCUUACACUAUUCUCUAAUGACCACUCCGUUUGGUCCCAC
rnacentral:lncRNA from 1 species